rnacentral:piRNA from 1 species
CAGGCCCAGGCUGCCUCCCACGACAUCAC